GUACAUGCCUAUAGCAUAUCAUGAAUGCACUGGAUCCCAUUAGAACUCUGCAGCUAAGCAUGCUCGGGCUAAAGUAGUACUGGAAUGGGUGACCGCCCAGGAAGUCCUAGUGUUUUACAUG
rnacentral:rRNA from 1 species